GAAUAUAGUAGCUACAAUGGUGAACAAGAAAUGCUCGAUUCAAAGAGCUAGCUUUAAUUGCUUGGAUCUUAAGAAUUUUAUGAUAAAUAUCCACCGAAUAGCUAAUAACAUAAUGCAGGAAGAUAAUAUAGUUCCAUAUUACACAAACAUUUCAAUCAAUUUCUCGUCUUCUUCACGAAUCUAAUAUCACUCUCAGAAUUAAUCGUAUUCAGUGAUUUAGUCUUUAAAACACAGGUGAGAAUGCACAAGCAAAAGAAAUCGAAACAUAAAUACAUUUGAUCACUACAAUAUCAGGCAAAUCGAACAGAAUAACGCACUAAUUCUUCAAAUUUCCUCUAGUUUCCUUCAUUUUAUCAACAUCCAAACAGAAAUUAAGUAAAACCAGAAAUCACAAUUAAAACAAUAACCAGAUCCAAAAAAACAAGUGCAG
rnacentral:misc_RNA from 1 species